rnacentral:rRNA from 1 species
CCUACGGGUGGCAGCAGUAGGGAAUUUUCGGCAAUGGGGGGAACCCUGACCGAGCAACGCCGCGUGAACGAAGAAGUUAUUCGUAAUGUAAAGCUCUUUUAACAGGGAAGAAAGAGAACUUUGACGGUACCUGAAGAAUAAGCUCCGGCUAACUACGUGCCAGCAGCUGCGGUAAUACGUGGGGAGCGAGCGUUAUCGGAAAUUAUGGUGCGUAAGGGGUGCGUAGAUGGCAUAGUAAGUCUUUUGUAAAAAUGCUGGGCUCACCCCAGUAGGGCAAAAGAUACUGCAAAGUUAGAGUAUGACAGAGGAAAGUGGAACUACAUGUGUAGCGGUAAAAUGCGUAAAUAGAUGUAGGAACACCAGUGGCGAAGGCGGCUUGCUGGGUCGAUACUGACAUUGAGGCACGAAAGCGUGGGGAGCAAACAGGAUUAGAUACCCUUGUAGUC